rnacentral:lncRNA from 1 species
CUCGUGAGGUCAGUUUUCGGAUGAUUUCGUGAGGUCGGCCUCCUUGUGAUGCUGUUGGCCUCCUCAUGAGGUCGGCAUCUGGAUGACUUCAUGAGGUCGGCCUCCGAAUGACUUCAUAAGGUCAGCUAAGUGAUGAGGAUCUAUCCCAACACUUGCCUCCCAACUUCCGAGCUCGAUUGCGUAUCUUUAAUUGGACGAAGGGAGUUAAUUGUUGUAUUGAUCUAAGCCGCUUUUCCCAACUUGUCCUCCUUUUGGACUUAUUUGUUUACAUGCUUUCCUUCUCUAUUUGCUUACUUG